UACGAAGGGGGCUAGCGUUGUUCGGAAUUACUGGGCGUAAAGCGCACGUAGGCGGAUUUGUAAGUAGGGGGUGAAAUCCCAGGGCUCAACCCUGGAACUGCCUUCUAAACUGCAAGUCUGGAGGUCAGGAGAGGCGAGUGGAAUACCGAGUGUAGAGGUGAAAUUCGUAGAUAUUCGGUGGAACACCGGUGGCGAAGGCGACUCGCUGGACUGAUACUGACGCUGAGGUGCGAAAGCGUGGGGAGCAAACAGG
rnacentral:rRNA from 1 species